UUAGGUUAAGUUAUGAAGGGCGCAUGGUGAAUGCCUUGGUACUAGGAGCCGAUGAAGGACGGGACUAACACCGAUAUGCUUCGGGGAGCGGUAAGUACGCUUUGAUCCGGAGAUUUCCGAAUGGGGAAACCUAAUCAGCUUAGUCGCUGAUUGCUUGACUAGUGAAUACAUAGCUAGCAAGAGGUAGACGCAGUGAACUGAAACAUCUUAGUAGCUGCAGGAAGAGAAAGAAAUAUCGAUUCCCUGAGUAGCGGCGAGCGAAAAGGGAAGAGCCCAAACCAACAAGCUUGCUUGUUGGGGUUGUAGGACUGAACAUUAGAGUUACCAAAGUGCGACGUAGUCGCAACAGUUGGGAAGCUGUGCCAUAGAGGGUGAAAGCCCCGUAGACGAAACGUCACACUCUCUGUUCAGGAUCCUGAGUACGGCGGGACACGUGAAACCCCGUCGGAACCYGCGAGGACCAUCUCGCAAGGCUAAAUACUCCCUAGUGACCGAUAGUGAACCAGUACCGUGAGGGAAAGGUGAAAAGCACCCCGGAAGGGGAGUGAAAUAGUUCCUGAAACCAUGUGCCUACAAGCUGUCGGAGCCCGUUAAUGGGUGACGGCGUGCCUCUUGCAGAAUGAACCGGCGAGUUACGAUUGCAUGCAAGGUUAAGGUGGAAAAACCGGAGCCGUAGCGAAAGCGAGUCUUAAAUGGGCGUAAGAAGUAUGUAGUUGUAGACCCGAAACCAGGUGACCUACCCAUGUCCAGGUUGAAGGUGCGGUAAAGCGCACUGGAGGACCGAACCCGUGUCAGUUGAA
rnacentral:rRNA from 2 species